CAAAAGAGGCAGAAGGUGACAUCAUCACUAGCGUGAGCAGGAGAAACACGUUGUUCAUUAUCACCUUUAAAAAGAUCCUGAUUCUUAAUCCAUUUUCAUGACAGUUUUAAAGUCUAACUCAGGAUUUUAGAAAGCCUGGGGUUGGCAAUCCUUCUUGUGUUAUAGCAUCAGUUGACACUACAAGGGAAGCUUAGGGAGGAGGA